AAGACCAUGAUAGUGUUUGAAGCUCUAGAACGUUUUGGCAAUCAUAGUAUUACAAAGUAAGACCAUGAUACUUAGAUUACUUAGUGAUUAAAUGCACGCGAAAGCCCUGCAGAUUAACUAAAGUCCUUUGGUGCUAAAAUUGAAAUUCAACCGCGACAACUAUUGCGUUUUUAUUUGUUAAUACUUAUUAGUUGAAGAAGUUGCUUUGCGGUAGUUGCCAUGUAGACCGCAGUUGUAUAGAAAAUUUCUUCGUAUCUAUAGUCAAAUUAGAUUCCAGUUUCCAUAUUCCAGUCUUUCUAACCAUACCCAGACAUGCAACUUCAAUAUUUGUUGAGGCUUUGGAUAAUGAUUGUUUACAAAGUUUACAGAAUGAUUGUCCCUUGUCAUUUUUUUUUCAUUUAGAUUAUGCAGAACAACCACAUUGCAUCCGUUACAUUGUAUAAAGACAAAUCUUAGAUGAUUCGUUGCUGUAUGAGUUUGAAGCUUUCUCAAAUGUAUUGGAGAAUCGUUAACAAGAACAACAAAACUUAAAGAUAAGUAGAUAAGUUUGCGUUACGAAAGAAAACUAAUGCGGAAAAAUGGCAGGAUUAUAAAAUAGUUCGUAACUAUUCAACUGUUAUUCAUAGAGUUCAACGCCCUUGACAGAUGGCUUUUAUUAGCUAUCUCUCAUGGCUCAAAGCUUCUUUGUUUCUUCUCAGGCGUUAUUUUUUGCGCGACUUGCAUGUUAUCAAAUUUGUUUCCUUGCUGUUUUUUUCAGAAUCCACUCAUGGAUUAUUAGAUACAUAGAAUAUGCUUUAGCAUGGCGACUUUGCAUUAAGAAAAAUAAAUAUUUAUUCAAGAUGUAUAUCCAGUCGUUGACUGUUGGUGCUCGUAUUGACUGACGUUUCGACAUUCUUUGCAGUAGUCACUUUUAGAAAAGUUGUCGAUUUGCAUGAGUGAUAUAUUUAUUUCAUAGUUGCUAUAGUCUUUGUGUCUCAUUUUAGUUUCACUUUCAUUGUCAAUAAUCAUUGUUGUUUGAUGCAAAAUUGCUGUCUUCUCUUACAUUGCAUGCGAUUUCUGUAAAUGGGACUAAGAUUUCGGACAAUUUUUUACAAAAAACAAUGACUUUACAAAUAGCUACCUGUACUAUUACUUCCUGCUAUAACAGAAAAUGCUCAGGAACAUGAAAUUAAUUUGUUCUACACAUAUUUAUGAUACAACAGGCAACACGCUAGCUCUUGUAAUGAGUGAAUGUCGAUGGACGUCUUCAUUGGAUGGAAAGCUGAAGAAACAGACAAUGACAAAGUCGAAGUUAAGCCAAUUAAAAAUUUUGAAAGUUGUUAAAACGGACCUGGGAGACAUAUUGUCUUUACACUUUUUCUCUCCCAAGCAACCACUACUCAAUUCAGUUUGACGAAAGAUUGUUUCCGAGCACUCACAUUUAUACCAACUUGGGGCAAGGAUGUCUUUCUUACUUGAGCUACAUACUAAAUGAGCAAAAAUUAUACCGACAUAACCAACAAAAUAAAGUAAUCUUGUUAUUUGCUAUACCAA